GACAGAGGGUGCAAACGUUGUUCGGAAUUACUGGGCGUAAAGCGCGUGUAGGCGGUCUGAUAAGUCGGGUGUGAAAGCCCUGGGCUCAACCCAGGAAGUGCACUCGAAACUGCCAGGCUAGAGUAUCGGAGAGGUUGGUGGAAUUCUCGGUGUAGAGGUGAAAUUCGUAGAUAUCGAGAGGAACACCGGUGGCGAAGGCGGCCAACUGGACGAUUACUGACGCUGAGACUCGAAAGCGUGGGGAGCAAACAGG
rnacentral:rRNA from 1 species